UGGCUCUUUGAACCCAGGGUGUCUUCAGCAUGUCUCUGCAUGUCAUUUUGGGUAUUCUGUGUACGUGUGCAUCCUUACGUCUGUCGUUUUGAUGCCCAAGUUUGCUCAUUCCAGGGUCUGUCUUCAAACGUCAGCUGACUUGCCACGGUUUGUUUUGUUCAUCACUGUUGUUAUCACCCAGCUCUGAGUCGUGAGUCUGUUCUUCUCGUAUUUUAUGUCUUCCUUUGGGGGAGGGGGAAGGGGAGUUGACCAAUUGCUAGCAGCUGUUACUCUUUUCACAAUAGGGCCGCCUCUCGAGCCCAGUGUGUGCGAGUGUGACUGAGAGUUAUGUUAUGAAACCAGGCACACUGCUGCUCGACUUCACCCCUCUUCGCUUGACAGUACUUUCCCUUCAGAAGUCCUAGUGGUGCCGGGAGACUCCCACGUGUGAAAGCCAGAGCUCAAAACCAACUAAUUAACUGGCAACGACCCUCCCAACCCUUUCCCUUGAGGAGCACUUUUAAACCCCAGUUUCAUCAAAACACUGCUUCAACCCUUCCUCAGGAGAACGCUCAUGUGCUUACAAGGUGACCAGACGUUCUUGGGAACGCAGACUUGCAACACAAGGAAAGUAGCACGAUGACAUGCCGGCUGCCCUCGAGGCUUCUGCUGUGGUUCAUUGGGUUAUUGGGUGUCGCGUUAUUGACGUUAUUCGUGGUUUGCAUGACUACGCAGAUUCAGGUGCCAUGGCAAGUGAUGAGUCUCCCAAGUAAACAUUUCAGGUUUUUUUCUGGCAAGAAUGACAGCAGUUCUUUGGAAUAUCAACCGUCUGCUGAGAAUGAACUGGACACUGCUG